GGAGGAUCCAAGCGUUAUCCGGAAUCAUUGGGUUUAAAGGGUCCGUAGGCGGUUUAGUAAGUCAGUGGUGAAAGCCCAUCGCUCAACGGUGGAACGGCCAUUGAUACUGCUAAACUUGAAUUAUUAGGAAGUAACUAGAAUAUGUAGUGUAGCGGUGAAAUGCUUAGAGAUUACAUGGAAUACCAAUUGCGAAGGCAGGUUACUACUAAUUGAUUGACGCUGAUGGACGAAAGCGUGGGUAGCGAACAGGAUUAGAUACCCUGGUAGUCCACGCCGUAAACGAUGGAUACUAGCUGUUGGGAGCAAUCUCAGUGGCUAAGCGAAAGUGAUAAGUAUCCCACCUGGGGAGUACGUUCGCAAGAAUG
rnacentral:rRNA from 1 species